UUCUUUCUUGUAAGUUUUUUUAAUUUGGUAAGAGUGACUUCUUAAAUUUGACAACGAAGUAAUUGAGUUGAGGAAUAACAGACUCCUAUUUUAUUUGCGAUAACUGGAUUUUAUUUGUGAGAACUGUAUACAACAGACUUAAUACCAGACUCCUAUUUUAUUUCUGAUCUAUGACUGUUCUCCCUAAUCUCAAUUCUAUUGUAAACUCGAUUUGGUUUAUAUCACAACCGAUUUGACAAUUCAGUUUUGAUUUCAAUUUUUUUGCAGUUUUAUUCAAGUAUUUAGUCUCUGAUUAUAAGUGCUAUUUUCUUCAGUUUCUUUAGUUAUCUUCGGUUUGGAAAUGAAAUAUUUCAGUCUAUUUGUUCUAUUGCUAACUCUAUGUAUUUCUUGUUUUUAGUUAUGUGAUUGUUGGACAUAUUGUGAACCAAAAGUUUGAUAUAAAGUUGAUAUUAGAGUAGACAUGCCAGUGACAUUGCAGCUUCAUUCCAUCUCUAAGACAUUAUCAAGCAGUGAAUAUCGUUUCCAGAGAAGUUAAAGAAGCAAAGGAAGUGAAGAAAGAUGAUAAGAAUGAGAAUAUUGUAUGAGUACUGCCAUGAUGCAUCGGUAUUCCAUAUUCGAUAACGAGAAAUACAUAAAUGAUAAGUAAAGAGAGUUGGUGAACCUGAUGAACGUGUUGAUUAUUAGUUUCAGCCAUUACAACAAUGUGGAUGGAGAAAUGAUUUCCUAGCUAAGGUGUAGGAAAACGAGAACAACAGCAUCAAAAUAUUACAAGAGGAGGAAACAAAAUUCAAGGCAUUUAGAGGCUCAUAAUUCAAGGCAUUUUUUAAGUAUAAAGAGUAUUCUAUGUAUGAUCUUGAUCUUAAAAUUAUUUGAUUCCGUACGAUGUACGGGUGUAACACUAGAGUAAUAAGCUUGAAUUUGUUACCAUUAAAUUUUUU